rfam:Bacillus sp. FJAT-27997 Scaffold1, whole genome shotgun sequence.
GCUUCCAUAGCUCAGCAGGUAGAGCACUUCCAUGGUAAGGAAGAGGUCAGCGGUUCGAGCCCGCUUGGGAGCU